UAUAGAUAUUAGGGGUGCCAGGGUGGCUUAGUCGGUUAAACAUCUGAAUCUUGGUCUUGGCUCAGGUCAUGAUCUCAUGGUCUGUGGGAUUGAGCCCCACGUUGGGCUCUGUGCUGGCAGCGUGGAGCCUGCUUGGGAUUCUUUCUCCCUCUCUCUCUGCCCCUUCCCUGCUCAAGCUCUCUCUUUCUCUCAAAAUAAAUAAAUAUUUUAAAAAGUUUAGACAUUAGUUCAUUUUCAUACCUUGGCUCUUAUGAAUACUGUUGCAAAGAACAUGGCAGUGUAGAUAUCUCUUCAAAAUCCUGUUUUCAUUUCCUGUGGAUGUAUACCCAGAAGUGUGAUUGCUAGAUCAUAUGGUAGUUCUAUUUUUAAUUUUUUGAGGAACCUCCAUACUGUUCUUCAUAGUGGCUGUACCAAUUUACAUUCCCACCAACAGUGCACAGGGGUUUCCUUUAUUCCACAUCCUUGCCAAUGCUUGUUAUCUCUUUUCUUCUUGAUGACAGCCUCUCUAACAGGUGUGAAGUGAUAUCCCAUUGUGGUUUUGAUUUCUAUUUUCCUGAUGACUAGAGAUGUUGAAUACCUUUCAGGUACCUGCUGGACAUUUGUCUGUCUCUGGAAAAAUGCCUGUUCAUUUCUCUGCCAUUUUUUUUUUCUUCCAAGAUUUUAUUUAAAUUCAAGUUAGUUAACAUAUAGUUUGUAUCCGUUAGUAGAAUUUAGUGAUAUAACACCCAGUGCUCAUCCCAACACAUGCCCCCCUUAAUGCCCAUCACCCAUUUAUCCCAUAACCCCACCCAUCUUCCCUCCAGCAACCCUCAGUUUAUGAGACAGAGACAGUCUUUUUUUAUUUACUUAAACAAAUUUUUUUUUAUGUUUAUUUAUUUCUGAGACAGAGAGAGACAGAGCAUGAGUGGGGGAGGGGCAGAGAGAGAGGGAGACGCAGAAUCAGAAGCACGCUCCAGGCUCUGAGCUGUCAGCACAGAGCCCGAUGAGGGGCUUGAAUUCACAAGCUGUGAGAUCAUGACCUGAGCCGAAGUUGACCGACUGAGACACCCAGGCUGAGACAGAGACAAUCUUAAGCAGACUCAUGGUCAGCACAAGUCCGACAAGGAACUCAAUCUCACAACCAUGAGACCAAGACCUGAGUCGAAAUCAAGAGUUGGAUGCUUAGCUGACCUAGCCAUCUGGGAGUUCCAUUCUUUCUCAAGAUUGUUAUGGCUAUUCAGGGUCUUUUGUGAUUCUAUACAAAUUUUAGGAUUCUUCAUUGUAUUUAUGAAAGAUGACCUUGGGAUUUUGAAAGUGAUUGCAUUGAAUCUGUAGAUUGCUUUCAGUAAUAUGGAUAUUUUAACAAUAGUAAUUCUUCUAAUCCAUGAACACAGAAUAUCUUUCCAUUUAUUUGUGUUUUCUUCACUUUCUUUCAUUAGUGUCUUAGAGUUUACAGAGUAUAAUUCUUUCACCUCCUUGGUUAAAUUUAUUCCUAGGUAUUUUAUUCUUUUUGUUGUAGUUGUAAAGGUGGCUGUUUUCUUAAUUUAUCUUUUAAUAUAAAAAGUUAGUUUAUAGAAACUCAACUGAGUUUUGUAUAUCGAUUUUGUGUCCUAUGACUUUAUGAAAUUUGUUGAUUGAUUCUAACAGGUUUUUGGUGGAGUCUUUAGGGCUUUCUACAUGUAAUAUCAUGUCAUCUGCAAAUAGAAACAGUUUUACUUCUUCCUUCCCAAUAUGAAUGCCUUUCCCUACUCCCUUGAUCUUGCCUAAUUGCUCUGGCUAGGACUUCCAGUACAAUGUGAAUAAAAGUGGUAUAGUAGUCAUCUUUUUCCUAAUCUUAGAGGAAAAGCUUCUUGUUUUUCACCAUUGAAUAUAGUGUUAUUUGUGGCUUGUCAUAUAUGGCUUUUGCUGUGUUGAGGUAUGUACCCUCUAUAUGUAGUUUGUGAAAAUUUUUAUCAUGAAUGGAUGUUGAAUUUUACAGAUGCUUUUUUUGCAUAUAUUGAGAUGAUCAUAUGAUUUUUAUUCUUCAUUUUGCCAAUGUGUAUCACAUUGAUUGCUUUACACAUGUUGAAUCAUCCUUGCAUCCCUGGAAUAAAUCACAGUUGAUCAUGGUAUCUGAUACUUUUAGUGUACUGUUAAAUUUAAUUUACUGGUAUUUGGGGUGCUUGGGUGGCUCAGUCACUUGAGCAUCUGACUCUUAAUUUUGGCUUGCAUUGUGGUAUUGAGACUCAUGUUGGACUCCGUGCUGAGUGUUGAGUGUGGAGCCUGCUUAAGAGUCUCUUCCUCUUCCUCUGCUCCUCUCCCCUGUCAUGCUCUCUCUCUUUCUAAAAUAAAAAAUCAAAAUUAAAAAAAAAUGAUUUACUAGCAUUUUGUUGAGGAUUUUUGCAUGUGUAUUCAUCAAAGAUGGUGGCUAUAAUUUUAUUUUCUUUUAACUUUUUUUCUUAUAAUGUCUUUGUAUAGGUUUUCUUACCAGGGCAAUAAUGACCUUAUAAAAUAAGUUUGGAAACGUUCUCUCUUCUAGUUUUUGGAAGUUUUUGACUAGAACUGUAUUAAUUCCUAUUUGAAUUUUUUUAAAAAUAGAAUUCACCAGUGAUGGUGUCUGGUUCUAGACUUUUAUUUGUUAUUGUUUUUGAUUACUGAAUCAUUCUCCUAACUAGUAAUCGGUCUGUUCAGAUUUUCUGUUCCUUUUAGAUUCAUUCUUGGUCAGCUGCAUGUUUUUAGGAGUUUAUUCAUUUCUUCUAGGUUUUCCAGUUUGUUGGCAUAUAAUUAUUUAUAGUAGUCUUAUAUGAUCUUUUGUAUUUGUGUGGUAUGAGUUUUAAUGUCUCUUCUUUCAUUCCAAUUUUAUUUGUUUGAGCUCUCUUUUUUCUUGGUAAAUCUUGCUAACAGUUUAUUUUGUACAUCUUUUCAAGAAAUUAGCUCUUGGUUUUACUGAUCUUUUCUCUUUUAGUCUCUAUUUCAUUUAGUUCCUCUCUGCUUUUUGUUGUUUCCUUCCUUCUACUAACUUUGGACUUAGUUUUUUGUUCUUUUUCUAAUUUCUUGAGGUGUAAAGUUAGUUUGUGUAUUUGGUCUGUUUAAUGGUGUCAAGUCCCUUAAGCUAUCUUAAUCUUUUUCAUUCUUUUUUCCUUUUGUUCCUCUUUUUUUCUUUGGAUGAAUUUGAAUGCCCCAUCUUUGAAUUCAUGGAUUCUUUUUUUUUUUUUUAACGUUUAUUUAUUUAUUUUGAGAGGAGAGAGAGAGAGUGAGUGAGCGAGCUAGCUCGCACACGUCUGUGGGGGAGGGGGAGAGAAAGAGAGAAAGAGAAGCCCAAGCAGGCUUUGCGCUCAGCACAGAGCCCCACAUGGGGCCCAGUCUCAGAGUCAGAUUAUGACCUGAGCUGAGAUCAAGAGUAGGGUGCUUAACUGACUGAGCCACCCAGGUGCCCCUUGAGUUGAUGGAUUCUUUCUUCCACUUCAUCUAGUUUGAUGUUGACCCCAGUAUUGAAUUUUCAGUUUAGUUAUUGUGUUUUUAGCUUUGUGAUAAUGUGUUUAAUACUUUUUUAUAUUGUUCUUUUUGCUGAAAUUCCCAUUUUGUUCAUGCAUUGUUCCCAGGACCUUGGUGAAGAUCUUUAUGACUAUUAUUUUCAAAUCUUUCUUGGAUAGCUCACUUAUCUCUGUUAUGGGAAACCUUUUUGGGGGAGUUUUAUCUUAUUCCUUUGUUUGGAACAUAUUCCUUUUUCUUCAGUUUCCUUGACUUUCUGUAUUGGUUUGCAACAUUUAAUAAAACAACCUUCUCCUAGUCUUGACAGAGUGGUCUUGUAUAGGAAAUGAACCUUACCAUUCAUCCUGGCCCAUACUUUUGAUUGUCAAAUCUUUAUGGUUGUUCAUUUCACCUUAUUUGUUCUUUAUUGUUCAGAAUAGUUGAGAGUGUGCCAAGACCUGUUCCCAUGUGGGUAUUUUCUUAUUUGCUAAAUGUGUACUUGUCACUUAGCUAGUUUUUGGAUUUCGUAUGGAGUGAAUUGCCUUGUAUAUAGUUGUACGUUAGCUGAAUCCUAGGAGUUGAUGAGUCCAUGAUCCUCCUAUCUUGCCCUCUUGGACCAGAAGCAAAUUUCAGUACAGAAUUUAAAGUAAAGACAUCAUCUACAUGAUACACACUGGUAUUCCAGCUUGCUUUUAGUUCUAUCUUGGUCAUUUCUUCUAUAGCCCAGCUUUUUGUGUGUGUAUGUGUGUGUUACAAAGAAUAUUCCAUUUUAUUUUAUUAAUUUUAUUAAUUUUAUUUUUGUUAAAUUUACAUCCAAAUUAGUUAGCAUAUAGUGCAACAAUGAUUUCGGGAGUAUAUUCCUUAAUGCCCCUAUCCAUUUAGUCCAUCCCCCCCCCAAACCCUUCCAGUAACCCUCUGUUUUUUCUCCAUAUUUAAGAGUCUCUUAUGUUUUGUUCCCCUCCCUGUUUUUAUAUUAUUUUUGCUUCCCUUCCCUUAUGUUCAUUUGUUCUGUGUCUUAAAAUCCUCAUAUGAGUGAAGUUAUAUGAUAUUUGUCUGUCUUUGACUGAUUUCCCCUAGCAUAAUACACUUUAGGUCCAUCCACGUAGUUGCAAAUGGCAAGAUUUCAUUCUUUUUGAUUGCAAAGUAAUACUCCAUAGCACAGCUUUUUUUUUUUUUUUUGCAUGUGUGUGUACAUCAGUGGACAUAUACACACAAAUGGAAUACUAUUCAGUCAUGAUAAAUAAAGAAAUCCUGCCAUUUGCAACAACAUGGACCUUCAUGGCAUUAUGCUAUGUGAAAUAAGCCAAAGAAAGACCAAUACUGCAUAGUACCACUUAUAUGUGGAAUUAAAAACAAAACAAAACACCCAACUUCAGACUCAUAUAAUGAAUGGCAAAGUGGUUACCAGAGGCUUGGAAGUGGGGGAAGUAGAGGUUGGUAAAAGGGCCUGAACUUUCAGAUAUAAGGUGUAUAAUGCAUAAGAGCUAACAUAAAACAUAAUGAGCAUGGUUAGUAACAUUUAAAAAAAGGUAUAGAGAUUGGAAUCUGUCAGAAUUCCAUUUUGUCAGUUUUGAGUUCUGUGACUUAUUUUUGGGUAAAUCAUUUAAUAUGUUUGAGGCACAGUUUUUAAUUUGUGAACUGGAUAUUAAGGCUAAUAUAAGGACAUAAUAAGUCAAUUUAUGUAAAAGAACUUCGUAAACUUCAAAGCUUACUACAAAGUUUACCUACUGCUUUUGGUAGAUAUGAAAUUUGUGAAUAUUGGUACAAAAUAACAAAAGCAAAUAAUUUUCCCCUCUUUCUACAACAUUACAAUUUAUUGUUUAUAUUAAAAUUUUUUUUAAUGUUUAUUUUUGACAGAGAGACAGAGUGCAAGCGGGGAAGGGGCAGAGAGAGAGGGAGACACAGAUUCCAAAGCAGGCUCGAGGCUCUGAAUUGUCAGCACAUGGCCCGAUGUGGGGCUUGAACUCAUGAACCACAAGAUCAUGACCCGAGCCAAAGUCGGACACUCAACCGACUGAGCCACCCAGGCACCCCUAUUGUUUAUAUUUUAAAUUAACAGAUCUAUAUGAAUAAAAGCAAAGUUAGAGUUUUAAUGUAAUGUAGUAUUUUUAAAUUCAGAGCCAGGAUUCCUGGAUCCUCAAAAUUUCUAUAACAUGAAUUAAUUUCUUAUUGAAAAUGAGUCAUCAUUUGAUUACAUAAUUCACCUGUGAUCACUUUGGUCUUGAUUCCCCAGGAAAAGGGAAGUGGAUAGUUGUAGGUGCUUUGAAGUAAAUAAACUAUUAAGGGAAUAACAAGAAGAUUUUAAGUAUUUUUUGGUACAAUAUUUGUGUCAAUUAAGAUAAUUCCCAAAUUCUUCACUUUUUCUAUAAGCUAAGUGUUAGAGUCAGUGAUAAGUAUUGAUCUUUUUAAAAAAAAAUUUUUUUUCAAUGUUUAUUUUUGAGAGAGCAUGACUGGGAGAAGGGCAGAGAGAGAGGGAGACACAGAAUCCUAAGCAGGCUCCAGGCUCUCAGCUGUCAGCACAGAGCCUGACGUGGGGCUCAAACCCACAAACCAUGAGAUCAUGACCUGAGCCGGCAGAGUCGGACGCUUAACUGACUGAGCCACUCAGGUGCCCCAAGUGUUAAUCUUUUUUAAACUUCUUGAUGUCUUCAUCUUUCUUCUAGUGUAUAUGUAUUGGUAUAUGGUCCCUUUCAGCAUCACUUAGUUACCAGUAAGUUUGGUGAGCCUCCUACCUAUAAUAUAGGAUUGCUUUAGGAAAUUUUAUUUCUUUCUUAUUUCUCCAGCAGUAAUAACAGUACUUUUAUCAACUGUUAUUUGUAUUAUGUGAUAAAGAAUUUUAAUUAUCACUAAUAUAGGCUAACCAGUAUACAUUGAAGACUAUACAUAGUAUAUAUACACAUUCAUAUACACAUAUACACAUACACAUGAAUACAUACAUAUAAUUUUAUUUAUUUCUCAUAUUCUAUUUUGAAUUGCACAAAGCCAAAAAUAAUUGUCCUUCUUGCUGUUCAUUUUUGUAGAGAGAUAGAAUUAGUUAUAUCUUCACUCUUUAUAUUCAAAAAUAAAGUACAGAACAUCAAAAAUUCAUACUACUGAAGUAUUCCUCUUGGUUAUUUAGAGGAUAUAAUUGUAAAACAUUUAUAAUAUUAAUAUUUCAUCUGUUCAUUGAUGAAGUAUUGUCACAUUUCCAGAUGCUUGGUUUUAGAUUUUCAUUCUUAUUUUGGCCAAAGAAUUACAAAAAUCACAACUAUUUUUUUCUUUUAGACUAGGAAUAUGUAGAAGCUUUAUUUGACUACAGAAGAAGAACACUAUAUUAAUCUGGUGUUUUGGUUAUGACCAUCAUUUACAUUUUGCUCAUUUAAGCAAUUUCCUUUGUUUUUUUAAAGAAUAUGAGAACUUAUUUGUGUUCAUCAAAGCCUCCAUAACAUUUGGUGGAAAUUCACUUAAUAAUGGGCUGUGUUACUCUUAAAAAUUUUGGGGCGCCUGGGUGGCUCAGUUGGUUAAGCGUCAGACUUCAGCUCAGGUCAUGAUCUCACAGUCUGUGAGUUUGAGCCCUGAGUCGGGCUCUGUGCUGACAGCUCAGAGCCUGGAGCCUGCUUCGGAUUCUGUGACUCCUUCUCUCUCUGCCCCUGAACAUCUCACUAUCUGUCUCUCUCAAAAAUAAAUAAACAUUAAAAAAACAUGUAAAAAAAAAGAAAAUUUUCUUGAAGUUCAUAGGAUGAGAAUCUGGUCCUAGAUUAAAUAGUUUCUAAUUUAGAUUAAGGCAUUCUUAGUAGAAUAAACCUAUACAUUUCUUCUUGUUGGAUAAAAAAGGAUAAUGUAAAUAAAUAAAAUUAUUUUUUUGUUUGGACUGAAAUUUCAGUGGUGAGUCUACUUGUUUAGGAACUUUUCUUUGGAUAUUAUUGAACAUGGUAAAUAUGUGAAAAUGACGCUGUGGAUUUGACAACUUUUUUGAGUGGAUUUGGCAUUUCUUUAGAAAAAAGGAAAAUAUGGACGUGUUCAUUAACAAAGUGGAGACUAACCAAAACAAAUCUAUAUCCAAUUUUAAACUAUGCACAAAUGGACAACUAAAAACUAAAAAUUUAAACAACCUGUGGUUUUUAAGGAUGUACAAAAUGUUAUAAUAAUUUAUGUAUAUGUAGUUCAGUUUUGAACAGGGAAACCCCAUUAUUUUCUAUGUGAUUCACAUGAGUUUUAUAGGAUCUAUCUUUUACUGUAAAUAAUGGUGCAUGUGAAUUUGUCUCUUAAAAACCCUAUGAUUUUUAACAUUGAGACUUUAGAUACAGUAAUGCUCAAUUUUUCUUUCUAUAAAUAGGGUUUUUAAAAACCUUAUCUAGGAGAAAUGUCAAUUUGUAUGUAGUCAUCGCUGAUGAAUAAUCUUGAAAUUCUUAGUCUAGACUUCUUAAAUGUUAUUUAUUCUAAUUUUUCAAAUAGUAUAUUGUAUUUUAAGUGAUCUAUUGAACAAAGUGGUAGUAGCAGUUGUUGUAGAAUACCUUUCUAUAAAAGAUCACACAUUUCUUGUAAUCAAGUUGGAUAUUUUCCUUUAUGUCAAUCUUUAAGAAUUAUUGGGCAAUAGCAACAGGAAUGGGGCUCUAAGUUGCAUGUCUAAUCAGAAAGCAUUGUUUUAGAGGGUCUUCCUUUGAAAAUUUUAAUAUACAUUUAUGUAUGCUUUCAUAUUGUUAAUGGGUAUGAUAAAUAGGCUAACAAGUUAUUACCAAAAUAUACAGUGUCAAAUAGAAAUUAAGGGUCCUCUUGGCAUUAAAAAUGUGGGCAGUUUGAGUAUAUUUUUGUUUCCACACAUGUGAAUAUUAGUGUGGGUAUAUGUAUUCAAAUUUCUAUUUUAAUGACCUACAUUGUGGACUCACAUUGUACAUAUACCUUACCUAAAUACAUAUGCACAUAUGUGGCCAAAGAGAGAAAUUAAAGUAUUCCAUUCAAUGAAUCUGUGCUAGGAGUGAAUGUGAGAGGUAAAUUUUCUGUUCCUAUUGAUUUCAACUCCUUUAUAUGUGCUAGGCUGAGUGUGUUUCUAGGGUUUAAAGACAUAUAAUAUGUGUGUGUACUUGAGUACACUUGUAUUCAUGAAUACAUAUGUAUAUAUACACACAUACACAUACAUAUACAAGUAUAUAUAUGUACAUAUGUAUGUAUUUUAAUACAAUAUAAAAUGCAGGCCAGCUAAAUCAUCUGGUAUUCAACUAAGGAAAAAAGAUAACUGUCUAUGAGAGGAAGUAUGUUGGUCUUCAGUGUGCAUUGUACAAAAGGAUUUUGACCAUAUGCAAAUUUUUGUGUGCUCACUUUAGAUCCUAAUCCCUGAGAAAGAGGUCACUUAACUAGUGUAUUUUGUUUGUUUAAUUUAAAAAUUAUAAUAGUCUGCUAGACAGUUUUAAUCUACUUUAAAUCUAUUUUAAUAGAUUCCUGCACCAGCCUGUACUAUGGUGAUUUCCCAGAUGCAUAUUGUAGGAGGCCCAAAGAAGCAUAAUACUGUGGGUUAAAUUGUCAGCUUUGACAUUGAUCCCCAUUAGGCCCAGGCCAGUUUCUUUACUGCUAGUACCCUAUAUUUUUGUGUGGAUGUUUUGUGUUUGUUUUUAUAGAGUGUCCAAAGUACUUUCAACAUGCGUAUCAUUUAAUCUUGCCUGUCAUGUACUCACUAAAUAUCUGAGGAGUGAAUGAAAAACCGUGUCAUAGAUAUAAUGGUUCCCAUUUUAAGGAUGAAGAAACUCAAGCACAGAUAAAGGCAAAUGUAUUAUCUUAGAAUGAAAAGAGCUGGUUUCAUAUUCCAUUUCUGGAAUUAUGUGAUCUCUGGAAAAUCCUUAUCUUUUUAGUCUCUUUUGUCUCAUUUGUAAAAUGGGUUCUGAGGGUUAUUGGGAGGGCUGAAUGAGAUAAUCUAAGUGAAAAUGUUUGGAACUAUAAGUUUCCAUACAAAUGAAAAGCCAAAAUUACAGUAAUAAUUACAUUAUCAAUUGCGUAGUCAUCAGUUUAUUAACAUUGGAAAAGAACAGUUCAGUGCUCUUUCUGCUGUUUCCACACAAUCUCAGGUCUAGAGACACUAGGUCUAUUUAUUACUAAUUCUGUACCCCAUUACUAAUAUUUAUCAUAAAUGAAAUUUUGCAGAACUCUUGUUAUCAUGAGCCCAAUUUUUAGAGGUCAUUUUUUGCCUGUAACAUAUUGCAAAAGUCCUUUGAAUCUCUUCUGGAAAGAAGAAUAUAAGCCUGAUUAGAUAUGACAUUUAAGUUUCAUGGCAUGAGUAUAUGAAAUAAGUUAUCUAAUUAUUGUUGCCCAGCAACAUUCUAAAUCUAUAAGAAAAAUACCUAGUUCAUAUUUCAUAUUUCUUAAAUUUAUUUCCCUUUUUGAUGAGAUUUUUGAGGGUAUCUUGGAGUUACCUAGCUUUUUUUUCCCAUGUACUUUGAAACAAUGGGAUUACACUCUGAAACCUACAAUAAACAAAUAAGCUAACAAAAAUUAAACCAUUACAGGAGAAAAUGUGAAAUGGAAGUAUAUAAUCAAGUAAAUGGGAAAAAAAACUUUAUUUUAUUAAAUGAAGGAUUGUAGAAGACUAACAGGAGAUAUCACUAGUGUAUUUCUUCCUUGGUAGUUGUUUUCUUUCAGGAAAUAUCUUAUCAGCUGGAGAGAGUUGCUCUUUUCUUUGAAGUAAGCUCUGGUUUCUCUGAAAUCAGAUUUUGUAUUCCCCAGGCUCCACUCUGCAAUGCCAGCGCAAACAUACAUUAGCAGCUGUACAACUUUUAAAGAGUUUGCAAGGAGGUAUCAAGCAAUUACUUAUUCCAUUUUCGACCUUUAGAAGUUUUAAAAAAAAUUCUAGAGUGGUAGGGAGAGGAAAAAUAAGACAGUUUAAAUACACUUCAUGAAAAAAAUAAUCAUGUAAAUUAAUUGAAAGAUUGCAUUCUGUCAGUGAGAGAUUCAGGGAAAUAUUCCUAUUAUAUAUAUAUUUUAUAAACAAACUACAUACUGGUUUGUAUUAACUCUGUAAUUGAGUAAAUCUGUUAUCAGGUUUUUUUGUUUGUUUGCUUUUUUUUUUUUUUUCUAGUUUGGUAUAUAUGUGCUAUUCUAGUGAACCUUUUGUUAACUAGUGCAUUGUAUAGUGAAACAAUUCUAAAUAAAAUAGUGAGAUCUCUUUGAUGAUUUGAAGGGCUCAGAUUAUUCUGUUCUAGUCUCUAAACUUCACAGAGGUAUACUGCUGGUUUAAUACUUGACCAUGCUGCUAUGCAUUUCAAGUAUCUCUAACUUUGUGUAUCUGUUUGUGGUGCCCUGAAAAGAUGGUGUCAAAACAUCUGGGCUAUAGUCCUGGCUUUUCUACUUAGUAGUUUUGUGUCUGUGACAAUUCAUUUAACUUCUUUUGCCCUUAGCAUCUUGAUUUGUAAAACAGGGCUAAUAAUACUUGCCCACAUAACUCAUAGAGUUGCUAUGCAGCUUAAGUGAAAAUAUAUGUGAAAAUGCCUUGUAAAUUGUAAAGGGCUGUUAGAUAUACCUUUAAAAUACCUUCUUCAGAAUGAGAACAAGUAUAAAGGAUAAAGUAAAAAUUAACUGUAUUUGUUAUUUCUGUUUACUAAUGUUCAUAUGAGAGAUGACAAUCAUAAUCUUUAUUCAGUAGGGUGGGAAUACUUCAGAAAGGCCAAAUACUCUGUCUGUUGUCAAUAGAGGAUUAGAGAGUUUAACAUAGGACAUAGAUUUUAUUUUAGGUCAUGUAUAUUCUUAUAUUUGACAUUGAUUUCAGCUCUAGAAUCUUGUAAUCUUACUUUUUGAUCUUGUUGUUUACCUGUAUACUAUGUAUGAAAAUAAUUUGAGUGUCUGUGUAUUUGUGCGCAGUAUAUUUGCAUGUAAUGUAUAUAUACAUUGUGUCUGGGCAAAUCAAAGUACUGCAAAGGUAUAUGAAUACAUAACUUCUUUUGAGGAAUUCACUCAUUCAUUCAUUUUUGUGCCAUUAUUUGUGCCAGGUUACAAAUUAAUUGUCCUGGCUCCCGUAUUUGAUUACACUAAUUAUGAAAACUUGGCUGUCAGUUUGUUGACUGUAUGAUUAUUGGUUUCUGUUCAUAUUAUAUACCCUUUCAUCAGAUCAUCAAAAUCUUCACUGGAUGUAGAUAUUGUUAAGGAUGCAUUCUCUUUUCAGUCUAUUAUUUUAAAUUUAAAUAUUAAAGGUUCAAAAUUGAUUCACAAAAGAGAUAAAAAUGGUGUAUUUCUUAGAUGCACAGCUGCAAUUUGAGGAAGUUCUUCCGGUGUUCUGUCUCCAUUGAGUCACCUAUUUAUUGAGGCCCAAUUUAUAUAUAGCAGACAGGAGAGAUUUCCUAAAAGUGAAAGGAACAGUUGGUAUUUUGUUUUUGCUAUCGUCCACUUAUUAACACAUAUUUAUUGAUCAUUUGCUCUAAGUCAGACACUAUGGUAGAUGCUGGGAAUAAAUUAGGAGUAAAUUACAAUCUAGUGGAGAAUAUGGAAUUAAAUAAUUUCAGAAUUAAAUUAAAACAGUUAUAAAUACUAAGGAGAAGUAUGUGGUUUUAGGAGAACAGAAAUUUGAGAGAAAUAGAAAAAGUAAUAAAAAUAUAUAUAUGAAUGAUAAAAAGAAGUGAGAAAUUUCCCUAUCUAAUCAAUAACAACAUUAUUUCAUGUAUCUUAUAUAUCACAGACUUCUAGUGGUAAGAGUUUUGAUAAAAUUAUAUAGUUGGAAGUAAUUUUCUACUGGCUAUAUACACUUAAUUUUGAGGUAAUAAGGAAUUCUAUAAAAUGGUUUAUAAAAGUUAUGUUAAAUUUAAAACCUGAACCAUAAGAGAAAAACCCCAUGGUUUUAUUUUAUAUGCUUGAAAUUGGUGGAAUAAAUCCAUAUGUUAAAUUAUCUCUUUACACAUAUCCCUUUCUUGUACACAGUGUUCCUUUGCCUUAAAGUGUAGGAAAAUACAACUUUGGAAACUAUGAAGAUAGCCAAAAAUUCUUUUCCUUAGAUAUUAAUGUAAGCAUUAAGAAUUUAUAUUAUUUUUUCAUUGAUGAUUUUACUCUUUUGAAGUUUAACUUUAUAAAGGGAACCCGUUAGUUUCACUCUAAAUUUUUCAAUUUUGCUUUGUUACAUGAACUAUUCAUACUGUUGUUUGAAUUCAUAAAUUACAAGAAAUUUAAGAAAUCAAAAGAUUUUUAGUUUUAUAAAAUAUUUUGCUUCUCUUAAAAAUUUUUUAAAGUUUAUUUAUUCUGAGAGGAGAGAGGGAGCUCAUGUGGGAGGGGCAGGGAGAGAGGCAGAAUCCCAAGCAGGCUCCACACUGUCAGCACAGAGCCCGAUGUAGGGCUCUAUCCUACGAAUUGUGAGGUCAUGACCCAAGCAGGAACCAGGAGUCCAAUGCUGAGCCACCCAUGAACCCUGACCGUUCUCUUUAUUUUUUUAAUCACAGCUUAAAUCUAAGUCUUUGAGUUGUAUAUUUUAAUCAUGAGAAUAGUGCACUUACGUUCAUUCCCACCCACCCCACCCCUUCUUUUUUGGUAAUUUUCAAUUAUUUAUUUAUUUAUUUAUUUUUUUGUAAUUUUAAAUUUAGAUUUAUCAAAAAGUAACAAUUUUUUGCAUGUUCAGUAUUUGGCAUAGAAUAUUUAGUAUUAGAUGUUACUAGAAAUACCAAACAGAUAAUACUUUGUCUCUCUUCUCUUUUAAUCCUUGGACUUAAAAAAAGGUGUUCCUUUAAGUAGCCCUGUAUUUUACAACCAGCAGUGUUAUCUUGGCUCUGAAUAGAUGAGAAUAUAAAGGAAGUUUGAUUGUUUCAAACUACGUUGUAAUUUUGUACUCAAAUACAUUGUAAUCUUAUCUGUUAACUCCUGGUUUAUGGUGGUCUCUAGGAGUGUCAACUUUAUAAUUAAGGUUAAGGAAGCUUAAAAUGCUUUUUCCCCCCUUUGAGUAGGGGGCAUGCUCUUCCCUAAUUUUCAGCCCUUGUACUGCAAGCUUGAAUUUUUCCAUAUGUUAAAAAAUACUUAUGUCUAGUAAGAAUACUGCCUCCCCCUCCCCGCCAUCAAGUUUGAGAAGUUAAUUUCAGAGCAUUGUUAAGUUGUAUAUAUAUUUUAUGAUAGGUGAUAGAAACCAGAAAUGUGUCAAUAAUUAUGCUACAGAAUAAACUAAAAAGUAAGAGUUAAUUACCAUCAUUUCCUGCCUUUUGUACCACCUUCCAAAAUAACCCCAAAGCCUCACCAUUCAAUAAUAGUCAUGUACAUCUUACAACAGAUCAUAAGCAGUUAAACUUAAUCUCCUUUGCUCUGAACAUUCUUGUUAUACACUUUGUGAUGUAAGUAAAAGUUGUGUGUGUGAACAGCAGAGAUCUAAUUCUUCCACAUUCUUUGGAUGCAUGAUAACAUGGGUAGAGCACUGAAUGAAUUGUGAUCUCUGGUUAAUGUUACACAUGUGAGUAGUUGUAUUUGUCUUUCUUUCUUCAUAGGAUCUUCAAUAUUUUUAUAAAAUGGGGCAUAAAUAUGCAUUAGAAUUAUGCAUAUGUUAAAAAUUUUUGUGGGGUGCCUGGGUGGCUCAGUCUGUUAAGCAUUCAACUCUUGGGUUCGGCUCAGGUCAUGAUCCCACCAUUAGUGGGAUCGGGCUCCCUGCUGUCAGCACGGAGUCCGCUUGGGCUUCUCUCUCUCCCCCUCUCUCUCUCUGUCCCCGCACCUGCUAGCAUAUGCACUCUAAGAAUAUGCACUCUAAGAAUGCAGUAUAUAUGGAGAAUCACAUAUUCUGUUCAGGAUCUUGGGAUAGCCACAUGAAAAUCAACCUAUUAGAAGAGUUUCCAGCUUUGCAAAAUGAGUUUGAGAGCCGUGGAUCCCUGACCAGCUGAUCAUUUAUUUUACUCUUCUAUUUUUUUGUCUGUUGUAUGGACAGUUAGACAGCAGUAAGGGAAUUUGGAUUUCAGGUAUGCAGAUUUUUCACACUUUGAUACAAAGGGAUGAUUAUUCUAAACAACUUAUAGUACAUAUUUAAAAGAAGAAAUGAAACUGGAUUGAAAGUUCCCAUCUUAUAAAAAUUGACAGUGAAUGCAGAGACUCUCUAGGUCAUCCUGUACAAAUGAGCAAACGUGGUGAAUCGAAUACAGAAAGUUAAUACAAACUGGUAUUAGAAAGUUAGUAUGAACUGCCUGGAUCCCUGGUUCAGUGCUACCUUGACUAUUUUAUUUAAUAUUUUUUAAUACUUCUAAUUAUAAGAUAAACACAUGGUUAUUCCAUUUGGUAUAUUUAGAAUCUAAGUAAAAUAACACGUUUUUGAAAUUUCUUUGUUGGACCUUUGAAAAUUAAUUGUAAAAAUCAAGUUAGUAACUAUGCAAGUGUAUUGUGUCAUAGCUUUUGCUCCAUUGUUUGCUUUUCUCAAUGUUAUAUAUGUAUUCAUUGAGACUAUAUAUAAGAGAGUUGAUCACCUGGCUUUAGAUCUCCAAGUAUGAUAAAUAUUUAAACACUGUUUACUUUCAAAAAGUUAUUUAAAAAUUUAAAUAGGUAAAUAUUUCAAAGAAGUGAAAGGGAAACAUUUAAAGUAGGAAAUAUUAGAAAAAGUAAAUGGGAAAUAUUUCAAACAUACUAAAAACCAGAUUCAUCAGUUUUAACAAAUACUAGUAUUCUGGCAUAUUUGCUUUAUAUGUUUUUGUUGUUCUAAAGAAAUGAAAGGUCACAGAGACUGUCAAAUCCCUUCACAUUCCAUUCCCACCCACUUCACUUCCCCAGGAGUAACUGCUAUCCUGAAGUUGAUGUGUAUUCUUCCUCUAAGUUUUUAUAUUUCUGUGUAUGUAUGUACCCAUACAUUAUAUAGCCCUGCUCUGCCAAAUAGGGUAGACACAUUAAUAUCUGACUCUUUAAACUUAAAUUAAUUAAAAUAAAAUACAUUCAGUUCCUCAGGAAUGUUAGCCACAUUACAACUGUUUAAUAGCCACAUGUAGCUUAGGCUACUGUAUUGGGUGUGCAGAUACACAACAUUUUUAUCAUUGCGAGAAGUUCUCAUAUAAACCAUUGUUUGCAUGUUUUUAAGUUUAUUUAUUUUAAUGUUUUUUAAAGUUUUAUUUUUGAAAAAGAGAGAGAUCGAGCAUGAAUGGGGAAGGGGCAGAGAGAGAGGGAGACAGUGAAUCCAAAGCAGGCUUCAGUCUCCGAACUGUCAGCACAGAGCCCCAAGUGGGGCUUGAACUUACAAACCAUGAGAUCAUGACCUGAGCUGAAGUCAUAUGCUUAACCAACUAAGCCACCCAGGUGCCCCCAUUUUUUGCAUGUUUUAAACUUCAUACAAAUGGUAUUAUACUUUUAAUAUUCUGGAGAUUAGUUUUAACUCAGCAUUAUGUUUUUGAGAUUUAUCUGUAAUGACACACUGAAUUAUGGACAUUUAGGCUAUUUUCAGUUUUUAAUUGUUAAAAUAAUGCUGCAGUGAGCACUUUUAUGCAUGUUUCUUUACACAUACGUGUGAAGGCUUUCUUUUUUUUUUUUUGGGUAUGCAUUUCUUUGUUGUAAUCAUUAUCAACCUCACGCACUGAGGCCAAAUCAUUCCUUAAAGUAGCUAUUUCAACUUAUGACUCAACCAGCACUCUGGAUUUUGAAUCCUAGAAAGGGAUCGGAAUCAGGAGAAAAGUUGUUGUGCUUUGAGAGACCUAAGAUGAAUAUUCACUUAAUACAAAAAGAGAGAAAUGUCACAAAAGUCAUGAGUGGCUGCACCCAUUUGCAUUCCCACCAACAGUGCAAGAGGGUUCCUCUUUCUCCACAUCCUCACCAACACCUGUUGUUUCUUGUGUUGUUGAUUUUAGCCAUUCUGAAAGGUGUAUACCUAGGAGCAGAAUUUCUGAAUCGUAUGGUUAUUCUGUGUUUGCCUUUUUGAAGAAUAGCCAAAUUGUUUUCCAUAGCAGCUGUACUAUUUUGUAUUCCCAACAGAAUGAUAGUUGUUUUGGUGGAGGGACUGAUUCUAGAGCUUCCUACUCUGCCAUCUUCCAUGACACUGCUCCCUGCCAUGUCCACUCUUAAAAGUGUUCCAGUUUGGAAAUAAUUUUUUUGGUCACCCAUUGGAUUAAUGGGCAAAACAUGAACUUCACUCUGAAUUUCUCCUGAAAUUUUAAUUUAAAGUUUACUUUUUCAAGACUCAUUUUGAAUUACAGAGAUCAUCUUCUACCUGUAGCCUCUUUUGGGAGGAUUUCCAAAAGAAUCCACUUCAAGGAAACACAGACUUGAAAACUCUCCUCCAUGGUUUUGUCUGAACUGGCUGCCAUUCUGCAGCACACACUGGAUCCAGUUGCUGAAGUGGGGGAACCUGAGAGGUGCGUGAGCUGGCAAGAGUGACCAUUUAGGCGCGUGAGUCAAGUGGGCCUGCGUGAAAGGAUGUAGAUGUACUCUCUGUAGGACAGGGGUAGACUGAAUACCUGCUUCACUGAAUACCUGCUUCACAUCACCUUUCACAUUUUCUUAUUGGAAAGACAGCCGUUGGAGAAUCAUCUUGUUACCAUCAGCAAAAAUGCAAACAAAUCAAGACAUUAAGAAUGCCACAGUGGCCAGCAGUUAAUGAUGCCAGUGUUACACAAGCUUCGGCAAAGUUUUCAAGACAGUGUGCCUCACUAGCCAUAAAUCAGGAAAGAUUGAACUUAUCCUUUUUUGUCUCAGCUGUUCCUUAAAUCAAUGCAACCCCUCCAAAUUAAUGUGAAUUGAAACAUGCAUUGUCUUUUCAGCUUAAUUGAGUACUUACUAUGUGUGAAUCACUGCACAAAAUAGGGGAGGGAAAAUGAGGGAGACAAUUAGGAUGUGUUUCCUGCCUUCAAUGGAUUUACAAUUAGUUUCAGGGCACUUUUUUUCUUCUGCUCUUAAUUAAGUGUGUCCCUAAGAUAGAAAACAAAUGAAUGGAAAAGUGUAUUCUGCAAGUAUUUUAAAUCCCUUUAAUAAAACACAAAACAAAACAAAACAAAACAAAAUAA